rnacentral:lncRNA from 1 species
UACUGCUUGCAUAGUUGAAUUGGUCUACCACCUGCCUACGUGUGUUUGUGGGGGUACUCAUGAGGUUAUUUUGGUGUAAAUAAUAUGUCAGUGAGCCUCUGAAAGCACAUAUGCCUAUUUGUGCAGAAGCAUUCAUUCACUCAUUCUUGAUUUAUGAUUUACUAAUUUACUUGGACAUUUUUAAAGUACUUGUUCUGUGAUUGUCCCCACACUAGGCACUGGGAAUCUGAAGAGGUGUCUGUGGCCAGAGUAAAGCCAGAGUGUGGCCAUCUAAAGGGUGGGCCCAGGACAAGGGCCUCAUGGAAAGGAACUGUGGAAAGUAGAGAGGACCCACCUGCCAUGCUGUGAGGACACCCAGGCCACAUAGAGAGAGUGAGGCCACAUGUAGGUUUUACAGCCAGAAGCCCCACUGAAAACCAAACCUGCAACCAGCAUCAACUGCCAAACAUGUACUGAAGAGGCUGAGAUGAUUCCAGCACUUGUGGAUGACUGCAACCACAUGAGAGACCCAGAGCAAGAGCUACCUAGCUGAGCCCAGUUACUCCCAGAAUCAUGAGAGAACUAUGUAAUUGAUUGUUAUUACUAUAUAAGCCACUAAGUUUACAUAUGAUAUGUUAUGCAGCAGUAGACAGCUGGAACAGGAGCCAAUAAACACCGAAUGAAUAAAUGUG